rnacentral:rRNA from 1 species
CCUACGGGUGGCAGCAGUGGGGAAUAUUGGGCAAUGGGCGCAAGCCUGACCCAGCAAAGCCGCGUGAAGGAAGAAGGCCUUCGGGUUGUAAACUUCUUUUGUAUGGGACGAAGAAAGUGACGGUACCUGAGGAGUAAGCCCCGGCUAACUACGUGCCAGCAGCCGCGGUAAUACGUAGGGGGCGAGCGUUAUCCGGAUUUACUGGGUGUAAAGGGAGCGUAGGCGGGACUGCAAGUCAGAUGUGAAAUACCCGGGCUUAACCUGUGGGCUGCAUUGGAAACUGUAGUUCUUGAGUACAGGAGAGGCAGACGGAAUUCCUAGUGUAGCGGUGAAAUGCAUAGAUAUUAGGAGGAACACCAGUGGCGAAGGCGGCCUGCUGGACUGAAACUGACGCUGAGGCGCGAAAGCGUGGGGAGCAAACAGGAUUAGAUACCCGGGUAGUC